rnacentral:rRNA from 1 species
GACGAACGCUGGCGGCGUGCUUAACACAUGCAAGUCGAACGGAAAGGCCNCUGCUUGCAGGGUACUCGAGUGGCGAACGGGUGAGUAACACGUGGGUGAUCUGCCCUGCACUUCGGGAUAAGCCUGGGAAACUGGGUCUAAUACCGGAUAGGAGCCAUUUUUAGUGUGAUGGUUGGAAAGUUUUUUCGGUGUAGGAUGAGCUCGCGGCCUAUCAGCUUGUUGGUGGGGUAAUGGCCUACCAAGGCGGCGACGGGUAGCCGGCCUGAGAGGGUGGACGGCCACAUUGGGACUGAGAUACGGCCCAGACUCCUACGGGAGGCAGCAGUGGGGAAUAUUGCACAAUGGGCGCAAGCCUGAUGCAGCGACGCCGCGUGGGGGAUGACGGCCUUCGGGUUGUAAACUCCUUUCGCUAGGGACGAAGCUUUUUGUGACGGUACCUAGAUAAGAAGCACCGGCUAACUACGUGCCAGCAGCCGCGGUGAUACGUAGGGUGCGAGCGUUGUCCGGAUUUAUUGGGCGUAAAGGGCUCGUAGGUGGUUGAUCGCGUCGGAAGUGUAAUCUUGGGGCUUAACCCUGAGCGUGCUUUCGAUACGGGUUGACUUGAGGAAGGUAGGGGAGAAUGGAAUUCCUGGUGGAGCGGUGGAAUGCGCAGAUAUCAGGAGGAACACCAGUGGCGAAGGCGGUUCUCUGGGCCUUUCCUGACGCUGAGGAGCGAAAGCGUGGGGAGCGAACAGGCUUAGAUACCCUGGUAGUCCACGCUGUAAACGGUGGGUACUAGGUGUGGGGUCCAUUCCACGGGUUCCGUGCCGUAGCUAACGCUUUAAGUACCCCGCCUGGGGAGUACGGCCGCAAGGCUAAAACUCAAAGGAAUUGACGGGGCCCCGCACAAGCGGCGGAGCAUGCGGAUUAAUUCGAUGCAACGCGUAGAACCUUACCUGGGUUUGACAUGGAUCGGGAGUGCUCAGAGAUGGGUGUGCCUCUUUUGGGGUCGGUUCACAGGUGGUGCAUGGCUGUCGUCAGCUCGUGUCGUGAGAUGCUGGGUUAAGUCCCGCAACGAGCGCAACCCUUGUUCACUGUUGCCAGCACGUUAUGGUGGGGACUCAGUGGAGACCGCCGGGGUCAACUCGGAGGAAGGUGGGGAUGACGUCAAGUCAUCAUGCCCCUUAUGUCCAGGGCUUCACGCAUGCUACAAUGGCUGGUACAGAGAGUGGCGAGCCUGUGAGGGUGAGCGAAUCUCGGAAAGCCGGUCUCAGUUCGGAUUGGGGUCUGCAACUCGACCUCAUGAAGUCGGAGUCGCUAGUAAUCGCAGAUCAGCAACGCUGCGGUGAAUACGUUCCCGGGGCU